ACCCGAAACCCGGUGAUCUAGCCAUGGGCAGGUUGAAGGUUGGGUAACACUAACUGGAGGACCGAACCGACUAAUGUUGAAAAAUUAGCGGAUGACUUGUGGCUGGGGGUGAAAGGCCAAUCAAACCGGGAGAUAGCUGGUUCUCCCCGAAAGCUAUUUAGGUAGCGCCUCGUGAAUUCAUCUCCGGGGGUAGAGCACUGUUUCGGCAAGGGGGUCAUCCCGACUUACCAACCCGAUGCAAACUGCGAAUACCGGAGAAUGUUAUCACGGGAGACACACGGCGGGUGCUAACGUCCGUCGUGAAGAGGGAAACAACCCAGACCGCCAGCUAAGGUCCCAAAGUCAUGGUUAAGUGGGAAACGAUGUGGGAAGGCCCAGACAGCCAGGAUGUUGGCUUAGAAGCAGCCAUCAUUUAAAGAAAGCGUAAUAGCUCACUGGUCGAGUCGGCCUGCGCG
rnacentral:rRNA from 1 species